rnacentral:rRNA from 1 species
UGGGGAAUAUUGCACAAUGGGCGGAAGCCUGAUGCAGCAACGCCGCGUGCGGGAUGACGGCCUUCGGGUUGUAAACCGCUUUCGCCUGUGACGAAGCGUGAGUGACGGUAAUGGGUAAAGAAGCACCGGCUAACUACGUGCCAGCAGCCGCGGUGAUACGUAGGGUGCGAGCGUUGUCCGGAUUUAUUGGGCGUAAAGGGCUCGUAGGUGGUUGAUCGCGUCGGAAGUGUAAUCUUGGGGCUUAACCCUGAGCGUGCUUUCGAUACGGGUUGACUUGAGGAAGGUAGGGGAGAAUGGAAUUCCUGGUGGAGCGGUGGAAUGCGCAGAUAUCAGGAGGAACACCAGUGGCGAAGGCGGUUCUCUGGGCCUUUCCUGACGCUGAGGAGCGAAAGCGUGGGGAGCGAACAGGCUUAGAUACCCUGGUAGUCCACGCUGUAAACGGUGGGUACUAGGUGUGGGGUCCAUUCCACGGGUUCCGCGCCGUAGCUAACGCUUUAAGUACCCCGCCUGGGGAGUACGGCCGCAAGGCUAAAACUUAAAUGAAUUGACGGGGUCAUAGCUGUUUCCU